rnacentral:rRNA from 1 species
CAGCCGCCGCGGUAAUACGUAGGCAGCGAGCGUUGUUCGGAAUUACUGGGCGUAAAGAGUGUGUAGGCGGUGCUCUAAGUUCGGUGUGAAAUCUCCUGGCUUAACUGGGAGGGUGCGCCGGAAACUGGAGUGCUCGAACGUGGGAGAGGAAAGCGGAAUUCCUGGUGUAGCGGUGAAAUGCGUAGAUAUCAGGAGGAACACCUGCGGUGUAGACGGCUUUCUGGACCAUUGUUGACGCUGAGACACGAAAGCGUGGGUAGCAAACAGGAUUAGAUACCCCGGUAGUCCCUGUCUCUUAUAC